rnacentral:tRNA from 1 species
GCCUGGGUGGCUCAGUCGGUAAAGUGUCUGACUUCAGCUCAGUUCAUGAUCUCACGGUCUGUGAGUUUGAGCCCCGCAUCAGGCU